GAAACAGGGCAGUCGCGCGUCCGCAGCGAAAGCGCGUCCGUGAGGAAAGUCCGGGCUGCACAGGGCAAGGAUAACGGCUAACGGCCGCCGAAGGCGACUUCAGGAAAAGUGCAACAGAAAUAAACCGCCCCGCCGCUCUUUCGGGCGGCGGAGCAAGGGUGGAAACGUGGGGCAAGAGCCCACGGAACGGCGUGGAAGCGUCCGUUCCUGUAAACUCUAUCCGCAGCAACACCGUGGUACGGGGACACACAGGCCGGCCCGGCCGUCCCCAGGAGGUGGCAUGGAGCGUACCGGCAACGGUCCGCCAAGAUAGAUGACUGCCGCGCGCUUCGGCGCGUACAGAACCCGGCUUACGGUU
rnacentral:RNase_P_RNA from 1 species